CACAAGGCACUGGACUCUGAUGACAUUGAACUGUUGAAGCUUCUUCUGGAUGAAUCUAAUGUCACUUUAGAUGAUGCUUACGCUCUGCACUAUGCUGCUGCCUACUGCAACCCUAAGGUUUUUAAGGAAGUGCUCAAUAUGGGCUUGGCUGAUCUCAAUCUUAAGAAUGCAAGAGGUCAUACGGUGCUUCAUGUGGCUGCAAGGCGUAAGGAACCAGCAGUGCUGGUGACUCUGCUGAGCAAGGGAGCAUGCGCAUCAGAAACUACAUCAGAUGGGCAAACAGCUGUAGCAAUCUGUCGGAGAAUGACAAGGCGAAAGGAUUAUAUUGAAGCUACAAAGCAGGGGCAAGAAACUAACAAAGACCGGUUAUGCAUUGAUGUCCUUGAGAGAGAAAUGAGAAGGAACUCCAUGUCUGGGAACUUGGCACUGUCAUCAGAGGUGAUGGCUGACGAUUUCCAAAUGAAGCUGAACUAUCUGGAAAAUAGAGGUGAUAUUUCUUUACUGGUAUUAGUUCAUCACCUUCUCAGAGUUUGUGCAUAGCACACUUGUUUCUACCGCUUGUUUGCCCCUUCAUCUUAGCAUCUCAAACAUUGCUGUAAAUGGGAUAAACACACAGUCUACGCUUGUGCUAUCAUCAAAGACUUUUUGAUAAACUGUUAUUCUUGUUAUUUGGAAGUGAAUAUUUUCAGCAACUAGAACUACGAAGCAUCUGGAUUGAUCCAUUUUAUCAUUCUCAAUACCUAUAAAGGAAUGUUAUAGAAAACUGUUUCCAAAGCAAACUGCGUGUGUUUUGAAUUUGUCUUUGGAAGCCACUAAUUGCUUGGAGAACACUGUUAGCCAGUCGUGAUUCCAUCCACUUUCUUGGAUGGAUAAUUGUGCAUCCAUAUGAUCUAGGCAUGUUGGUUUGGACUGAACUAGUUUUUAAUAAAUAAUUGCCUUAAGGAUUUAGUCUGUAUGUUACAGCCCAGUCUUUGUUGUCAAUAGUUCUUUUUUACCCCCUCCCCAGGAAAGAAUUGAGAUACAAAAUAAUUUAUUCCUGUCAUGGAUGAGUGCCAUAACAGCUUCUUAAUGCUUUGCAGUGGCUUUUGCGCGGUUGUUGUUUCCUUCUGAAGCUAGAGUAGCUAUGCAUAUAGCAGAUGCAGAUGCCACCAAUUUUUAUACUGGCCUUUCAGCAUCAAAGUCAAAAGGAUCAAGUGGGAACUUAAAGGAGGUUGAUUUGAAUGAAACACCCUCUAUGCAAGCCAAGAGACUCCAAUUAAGACUGCAAGCUUUGCUUAAAACAGGUAUUUAUAUACCUUCUUAGUUUUUGUAUGUUUAUAAUUACUGAUUUUUAUAUCAAAAGAGAGAGGUUAAUUUUUAGUACAUUGAUAUCUCAACAAAAUGGUAGAUCCUUUAUACCACUAAAGACAUUUUCUUAGUGCACUUACUGAGCUUUCUAUGAUUGCAGUUGAGACGGGCCGACGCUACUUCCCUCAUUGCUCAGACGUGGUUGAUAAGUUUUUGGACUGUGAUUGGUCUGAUGCUUCCCUCCUAGAAAAUGGUACUCCUGAAGAGCAGAGACUCAAAAGGGCACGUUUCAUGGAACUUAAAGAAGACGUGCAGAAGGCAUUUUACAAGGAUAUGGCUGAGAAAAAUCGUUCAGGUUUGUCGUCAUCCUCGUCGUCGUCAUCUUCUCCCAAGGAAGGAGUAAAGUGUAAGGGUAGGAAAAGGUGAUGCUUAGCUACUUGUCUUUGUUAUUCAUAUCUAGGAAAACUAGGAGAGUUUUACUGUGUUUGAUUGUUACUUGUAGAGAGAUACUCUUAGAGCCUAUGUUAUGGCUAUGUUGUAUAAUAGCAGAGGAACUUCAAGCUUGCAUUGUUGUAUUUUCCCACGUAUUUGGCAUGUAAUAUACUAAGUGACAAAGAAUUUUCUAAUUUUAGAGGAGAAAAAUGUGUCAGGUAAUUAUUUGUUAAUUUUAUCUGUUUAUUUCAGUUUAUAAUAUAGUUUUUUUUUUUUUUUAAAGAAAAAAAUCUCCAUAUCUUCAUCUGCAAACUCAAGUCAUGUGUAACUUCUUUCACGGAGAAAAGGGGUAAAAAAAGGGGCAUUCCUACCUACAUUUUACGGUACUGACCCUCAUACAGAAAUUGGUUAAGAUGACAUUAAUGUUAUUCGAAAUAGAUGGUAUGCAGAAUUUUCAUCGAAAUUGAAAUUAGAAAUGGAUGGAUGCAAAUGAUAUAUAUGCAUAUGCAGAACUUUUUAACAGAUUUUUUAUACAAAAAUUUGUAGCUUAUUACUCUCCAGAAGAAAAAUAAAUCUUUAACUGUAGAUAUCAAAAUUUAAAUUUAUAAUAUGAUAAAUGUGACUUAAGGUGCACAGCACCCAUAUAAUAAUAAUUAAGAAAAGGAAAGAAAAUUUUGUAAAUUACCAAUUUUUUAGAAUUAAUUAUUUUUAUACCCAAAUUCUCAUGCUCGAAGGUCUCUGGAAUUGGCUAUUGUAAUUUUAUCAUCCUCAUUAUUCAUUGGCCAUUUUUGGACCACGACAUAAUAAAAAAAUCGCAUUGAUUAAUAUUAAUAAAUUUCUUUUGAUUAUUUUGUAGUGUGAUGAUCCGGUGAAUGCUAGUGCCUAUCAUAGCACUUGAAUAUGUGGUAAAGUUUUGCGAUUCUUUGUAAAAUAGAAUUUAAAUUGUGUAUUAACUAGACAACUUUAUAUAGACCAUUGCCCACUAAAUCAUUACUUUAUUUUGUAUAUAUUUAUGAUAAUUGUUGAAGAAAAAUGUAAAGUGAGAUUAAUGAACAUUCAUGAAUGUGGGAAAUUAACACAACUAGAAUUUAUGAUGAAAUAAUUUUACGUCAAAUGAGUGUAAGUGAAUGGAUGUUAAAAAACUUGUAAUAUAUAUUUUCCGAAUUGUUAUAUAUGCAAGUUUGUCACUAACAGUAAAUUGAAUUAUUAAUAUUUUAAUAAUUCAAAAUCUCAUUCAACCAUCGGUUUUUAUAGUAUUUUUCAGAGUACAAAAUUAUAAACCGCCUCACCCUUAAUAAUAUAAUGUUAAACCUUUUCAAAAAUUUAUUCUAUUAUAGUUGUCUUAAUCACUUAUACUUAUUCUAAAUUGAAGUUAAAAAUAGUACUUCAUAUAUGAUACAUUACUAAAAGAAAUUUUUUUUAUCAAGUUAUGAGCUAGUGAAAGGAUGCAAUAAAUUACGUCUAAAAUUGUAAAAUUAAUCAAUCACUAAGUAAAUAUAAUGUUACAUGUGUAUGUAUAUAUAUUACAUAAAGUCUGAUUCUCAUGAGCUUAAAAGAUGGGCAUGGGAUGAUAUAUCAUACUCAAAAAUCUAUUUUUGCUAAUGAUUAUACUAACAUUUAAAGGUCUCUCUAAGCUACAUUGUAAUUUAUAUAGUUACUUAAUUUUACUAAUUACUAUUAAGCUCACGCUUCUUCCUUCAUAGAAAAUCAUCUUUUUGGCUUUUUCUAUUUUUAUGCUUUUUUUAAUUUCUUUUUCAAGACUUCUUUUUCUUAUUGCUUUACCAAGUGGGCAAUUAAAAAAAUCUUUUUUUUUUGGUUGUGUAGCUUUUGGUAGAAACAUAUGAUUCCCCUCUGUUUCCUCCCCUUGGCUUCCUGCGUAUUCGAAUCCAAUACUUUGUAAUAUUGGAAACGUUAAAAUUGAUAUUACUUCUUGAUAUAUAUUCGAAACGAAAUGUCAUCAUCUUUGAGCUUGAUCAACCUCAGCAGCAAUCUUGAGAAGCUAUUGCUUGAUGCUGAGUAUGACUGUACCGAUGCCGAGAUUGUUGUUGAGGGAAAAUCAGUGGCUUUUCACCGCUGCAUAUUAUCUGCACGCAGCCAGUUUUUUCUUGAGCUUUUUAGAAAGGGUAAUAAUAAUGAUGGUUCUGCUGUGAGUGAGGGGAAACCAAAGUAUCUCAUGACUGAAUUGGUGCCUUAUGGUAAAGUUGGAUAUGAAGCUUUCAAUGAUAUCUUGUAUUAUUUCUACACUGGGAAGCUUAAGCCACAUCCUCCCGAAGUGUCCACGUGUGCUGAUAAUGCUUGUGCUCAUGAUGCCUGCCCUCCUGCUAUUAAUUAUGCUAUUGAGUUGACGUAUGCUUCUGCUGCUUUUCAGAUAAAAGAACUCGUUCUGCUUUUUCAGGUAAUUGUGCUUCCCCCUUGUUAAACUUAGAAAGUUAUUUGUAUUGGUAUAGGUUUUACAUCUAUUGAAUUAGAAUCAUUUUCAAUCAUGACUAGCAAAGAAUUGAAGGAAGUAAAUGUUAAGCGGCAUCAAUGUUUACCAAUAUAAGACAUUGCAGUACCAGAUCCAAAACUAGCUUGUUAAAAGUAUUGAUGUUUUGAGCCCACAACUUAUCUUUAUCCUACAAGAUUUUGUUGCGUUUGUUAAUUCGGUAUUAGUUUGUGUUGUUUUAGUCAAAAGAGAAUAAAAGACGAUUAUGGCAACAAACUCCCCGAGUACAUGCUUGCUGACACCCAAUGAAUGAAAUAGCAAACUAAAAAGGUGUAGAAUACAUGGGUCUGAAUUUGAUAAGUGCAACUAUCCGAUCACAAAAAGCUCAACUAGUUGUUAUUUGGUUUCCAACAAUGAUACUACCUUUCUAGUAAAUGAUAUGUUAUUCUACAUCUAUAUAUGGAACUAUGGAAGCUUCAUUUUUCCUUGAUUCACUUUUCUCGCUUCUAUUGAACUGCCCAGAUAUAAUAUUUUCUACUGGAGACUAGCAUUGGAUUGUGAAUUAUGGAAAAAGUUAUGACUUGACAUGCAAUUUUAUUUUGGUGGGUGUCAGUUAAUGCUCUGGCUUAAUAGUUCUAUUAUUUAGGUAGUUUUAUCAAUAUUUUCUCAAUCAUCUGAUAGUUAGUUCUCUCAUGCCUUCAAGCUCAACAGUGAAUGCAACAUAUGCCUUUUUCUCCUCCAAGCUAUAACGUAUCAAUUCAUUAAUGCUGAAGAAUUAUAUCUUUUACUGGGGAGAUUAUGUCUCUGAACGUUGGUCCGUCGGCAUUUAAGUACAAUAAGCAUGGCACUAUUUUUCUCCUUGUUAAGUUUUUCUUUCCCACAUUAUCACCCUUGAAGCAACAUAUUGAAGGAAAGCAACAUUCUUAUAUAUGCCUUAUGAUGUUCUGAAUGUAUUCUAACUCAAAACUCUUUCUAUCCAUGCAGCGUCGCCUUCUGAACUUUGUCGGGAAGGCCCUUGUGGAAGAUGUAAUUCCAAUUCUUGUGGCUGCCUUCCAUUGCCAACCGAACCAGCUCCGCUCUCCCUGCAUCCAGAGAGUGGUAAGGUCAAAUCUUGACAAUGUCUGUCUCGAGAAAGAGCUUCCUGAUGAAGUUUCAAGUGAAAUCAAAUCACUCCGUGUCAAAUCUAACCAGGAGUGUGAAGCGAAUAUAGCAGAAGUGGAUCCUAUGCAUGCAACAAGAGUCAGAGGAAUCCACAAGGCACUGGACUCUUAUGACUUUGAACUGUUGAAGCUUCUUCUGGAUGAAUCUAAUGUCACUUUGGAUGAUGCUCACGCUCUGCACUAUGCUGCUGCCUACUGCAACCCUAAGGUUUUUAAGGAAGUGCUCAAUAUGGGCUUGGCUGACCUCAGUCUUAAGGAUGCAAGAGGACAUACGGUGCUUCAUGUGGCUGCAAGGCGUAAGGAGCCAGCAGUGCUGGUGACUCUGCUGAGCAAGGGAGCAUGCGCAUCAGAAACUACAUCAG
rnacentral:lncRNA from 1 species